rnacentral:rRNA from 1 species
CAGAAGCAGCGGUAAUACGGAGGAUGCGAGCGUUAUCCGGAUUUAUUGGGUUUAAAGGGUGCGUAGGCGGGCUGUUAAGUCAGCGGUCAAAUGUCGGGGCUCAACCCCGGCCUGCCGUUGAAACUGGCGGCCUCGAGUGGGCGAGAAGUAUGCGGAAUGCGUGGUGUAGCGGUGAAAUGCAUAGAUAUCACGCAGAACCCCGAUUGCGAAGGCAGCCUUCCGGCGCCCUACUGACGCUGAGGCACGAAAGUGCGGGGAUCGAACAG